GUGGCUGUAGCUCAGUAGCUGAGUACUCACCUCACAUGUGUGAGGCACUGGGUUCGAUCCCCAGCACCACA
rnacentral:tRNA from 1 species